AAACUUUCAACAACGGAUCUCUUGGUUCCCGCAUCGAUGAAGAACGCAGCGAAACGCGAUAGUUAAUGUGAAUUGCAGAAUUCAGUGAAUCAUCGAGUCUUUGAACGCACAUUGCGCCCAUUGGUAUUCCUUUGGGCAUGUCUGUUUGAGC
rnacentral:rRNA from 1 species